ACGAAGGGGGCUAGCGUUGUUCGGAAUCACUGGGCGUAAAGCGCGCGUAGGCGGACCGUUAAGUCGGAGGUGAAAGCCUGGAGCUCAACUCCAGAACUGCCUUCGAUACUGGCGGUCUUGAGUCUGGGAGAGGGGGGUGGAACUGCAAGUGUAGAGGUGAAAUUCGUAGAGAUGAGGAAGAACACCGGUGGCGAAGGCGGCUCACUGGACGGGUACUGACGCUGAGGUGCGAAAGCGUGGGGAGCAAACAG
rnacentral:rRNA from 1 species